rnacentral:rRNA from 1 species
CAAAAACAUGUCCUUUUGUUUAUUGAUUUAAGGUCUGACCUGCCCAAUGAGGAGUUGAAUGGCCGCAGUAUUUUAACUGUGCUAAGGUAGCAUAAUCAUUUGUCUUUUAAUUGAGGGCUGGAAUGAAGGGUUGGACGAGGUAUUAGCUUUCUUUAAUUUAGUUGGAAGAAUUUAAUUUUUGAGUUAAAAAGCUUAAAUUUAUUUGUGGGACGAGAAGACCCUAUAGAUCUUUAUAGUUUAAUAUUUUAGUAAUUUGGAGGUUUAUGUACUUUAAAUAGAAGAACUAUUUUGUUGGGGUGACUGUAGAAUUUGAAUAACUUCUAUUUUUUAUUUUCAUUAAUUAGUGUUUUAAUGAUCCAUGUUUUAUGAUUAAAAGAUUAAGUUACCUUAGGGAUAACAGCGUAAUUCCCUCGGAGAGUUCA